GUUGAGCCAGUUCUAAGAAAGCACGAUCUCCCUGCAAUUACAGCGCGUCCAUGGCUCCGAUACUAUAUAGCAAAAAACAUUCAUCAUACUGUCUUCUGUUCCAGGUGCUAAGAAGAGAGGCCAAUGUAGCUGUCUAAACAAGAGAUGACAUACCUUUUGAAAAGCAGCUUUCAGGUGGUUGCUUGUGCCCUGAGAACGUAUGCACCUGGAAAUUCCAGUGCUUGAGAGAAGCUGAAGAUCAGUCCACAAAUGUUCUUGCUGCACUUGGGGAGGUAGAAGAUGGACUGGAUUCCAUGCCUCAGUCUUCCCUAGAAAUGACAACAGAGAGCAUCAACACUGGAAUAUAAGAGCAGACUAAAAGACCAGGAUUCUUUUUCUUUAAUAACAUAUCUGAAAGAGCCUUCCACCACCUCUCAGUAGAGUUGACUCUUCUGAGACAUUCAGGAAGACAAUGCUUUGACAACCUCUCAAAUUAUGCAGUAUGCUAGCGUACCUAAGAGAUCUUUUAAUACUGCAGUGAUGUUACCUGGCCAGAAGCACAAGACAAAGUUUUUCCAAGUCUUCGUAGCAAAUAGACCUAGUCCUAAACGCAUCGUUAUUGGCUUCUUCCACCUGUCUCAUUAAGCUUGGAAAAAGGACAGAAUUAAAGUGCAUUUUUUUAAUAUGAAGCAAAGCCUGACCCUGUCUGCUGCUGGAGAGCACUAAGUUCUUCAGACAGCACAGGAGUGCUUGAAGGAAGGAUCUGCAAACACAUACGAAAAGAUUUGCAAGCAAUCUCUGAAGUCUGUUACAAAAGCCAGAAAAGUUUAAACUGUGCUGCCCUACAAAGGAGGCCUGUUUUGGGCAAAACUCGGUAAAAUCCCAUCUGAACCAGGACUGUGUCACUUAUGCUGAUGGAGUUGAACAUGUAUGAACCAUGGAGUGAGGGAGAAAAAUUCAGCCUUUUACAUCUUACAUGAUCAUUACCUUGGUGCCUGCUCUAGCCAAAGCACUCCCCAGGGCAGCUGAGGGGCUGGCUGGUUUUGAAGUGUGCAGAGCAGUAAGGAGAGUUAGCAAAGCUACGUCAGGUUGCUCUAUGCCUUAUCCAGUCACAUUCAGAAAAUCUCCAAGGAUGGAGCUUUCACAGCCUUGCUGGGUGACCUGUUACAGUACUCAAUGCACUCUAACUGCAAAAGCUUUUUCCUUAUAUCCAAUUUAAUAGGUAAUUCGGUGGGCUGAGGGGGUUGUCUAAAAUACCAGCCUUACGCUUUCCUCCCUAACUUGACACGUUGGGGCUCCAGACCAUAGGGAAAGUCCCACGGUGCCACCAACACAGAGGGAGCCUGCAGUGUAAUUCUGUGUGGGUGCACAGGCUGCAGAGGCCCAAGGGUCUGGAGGUGAGGACAGACACAAGAACUGCUAACUGGCUGGGCCUUGUCUUUGUUCCCAAGGCCUGUACAAGCCAUGCUGCCAACCAUGCGUGGUGUGCACAUUAGAUAAUAGUUGGAAAUGUUUUUCCUCCAGAGGCAUGUUCUGUGCUCAUGGUCUCUGCUGCUAUGCAGAGAGCCAGCUCUCCUUCUUCUUCCUGAACUUUGUGAGCCCGGGACUGAGCAGAAGUCAGCCCACGUAAAGGCUUCAAUGGGCUUCAGAUGUGAGGCUGCUUCUGCAGGGCACAAUCCUGAGCAACAAGCGUGAUAGAGCCCACAGAAGGAGAGACAUGAGAAGCUCUGUAAUACUGAAAGCAACAUAUUAUCCUCUUCUGAUCUGGGACAGCUGAACCUCAGUGGCUUUAUUUCCUUCUACACUUUAAGUUACAGGGAAAUCCACAUUCAGAAAGUAGCAGUUGGAAGAAUUCAGCUAGUGCCACCAUAUCUGCAUCUACUAUGCUUUUAUGGGUACGCAGGGCCUUACUUCCUUCUGAUAAAUGGGUGAAGGGAAAGGCCAGGCAUUGGACGUGUAUUCAGAUGCUGCAAUUUAUUCUCCUGGCUUUAAAAGGCUCAGUUAUAGUAGGGCUGAGAGCCAAAUACAACUCUGUCUUGAGCUAUUCCUUCUCCUCCCCCCCGAAGAAUGAUCUUUAAGGUCUAUACCCUCACCUCCACCCAAAAUGACUGCCCUGAUUUAUUUUAUGCUUUUUGUUGUUGUUGUUGUUUCCUUUUAAAUAACUUCUAAGCUUAGCCUUUGUUUGCCAAGCUUUCAGCCUGGAGCAAGAUUUUACAGUUGAAUUAUAACCUUCUCUCCUUCCCCUUGAAAAGAGGUGUUUUUCUGGAUAUGCUGCUGUCCCACCCAUACUCACCUAGCUGCGGGGAGGCAGGGGAGAUGACAAGCUUUUUACAGAUCGGCAGCUCAGAGUUCAGUGUCGCAGGCAUGGGCACACAUCUGGUUAAACCAUUUCCCUUAUAUCUUGGCUCAAAAUCCUUGGCUGAGACAUCUCAUGGCAGCAGCCGUGUCCAGGGAGCUGAGAGGGAGGGAAUAAAGGAGACAAAGUGGUUAGGUUUCUCAGAAAGGGAAUGGCUGUGGGCUGGAAUAUAACGAAAUGCCAGGACUGCAGAGUCUGCUCUCUCAGCAUGUUACAGGGUUUUUGACUCACGGCAGCAUGAUGCCAACCCACACUUGAAAAGCCCCCUCUGAAGCGCGGGGAGCAAAAGACAGAAGGCUGCUGAGGCCAGCGCCUUCCACAGAAGGAAGGAAUGGGUGAUGGUCUGAAAAGGUACUAUAAGCUGGAGCCUCAGACAGUUUUGGAUACUUCUCAGGGGUUUCAGUUUCCCCACUCAGACCCCAGUAAAACCUGAAAAUCCCUACUCAGCUGCCAAUGCAUUCCCAACACUGAGCUGAAGCCAGGCAGGCUCUGGAGAAGACAUUUCAAAGCACGCAGCGUCACCUCCCCAGCUGCCUGCUUUACCAGUAGGAUCCAGUCCCCUGUGCUUACUCACAGCAUGCCUAAAAGUGUUAUCUGUGGUCCAGGAUGGGGUGUAGGAGCACGAAGAGGAGUGAAGUAAGGCAUAUUUGGUGGGGAAUUCCCUGUGGAUGUGUCAGACCGGGACGGUAAGUCCUUCACUGGAUUAGGGAUGUUUCUUGUACGUGAACUGGUGCCCAAAUUUCUCUGGGUUAAGAUCUUUUAUUAUUUUUAUCAGCACUCUCCUCCUCCCACACGAUCAGUUGACAAGAAAGGUUGCCUCUCCUCGCUCCAGGCAGGCUGCCUGCCUGUCUGCCACACUCCCUCUCCUCCAGCAUUGCUCCAUGUCAAGGAGCCACCCUAAUGUGUAACCUGACAUUUUCAAACACGCUGAUAUUGGCAGCGAGUUACGUGAUAUGCUAGGCUUUAUCCACCCUGCACAGGUCUUCUAGAAAGGCUACUGACUUGGAAGGAGAAUGCCCAGCAUUCAGCAUAACAAAAAGGCCACUCCUGGUGCUGAGCACCUCUGCAAGGACAGAGCUGGACCCAGGACUAACUCUGAAUUUGAAAUGUGAACUCUGCGAACUUCAGGUGUGAACAGCCAUGGCAAGGCUCAGAGUGACAGAGGAACACGGAUGCAGCACCACAGACGUCAAAGCCAGCAUCAGAAGACGAGGGUGAAGCAGCGCUCUACCGAUCUUCUGUAUUACAAUCUUGACAGUCAUUAAAAAAGGCAAAAAUAAGC